rnacentral:tRNA from 1 species
UGGUGCAGUGGUUAAGCACUCAGCUGCUAACUGAAAGGUUGGUGGUUCGAACCCACC